ACGCUCGACACCUACGAGGCAGCAGUGGGGAAUAUUGCACAAUGGGGGAAACCCUGAUGCAGCGACGCCGCGUGGAGGAAGAAGGUCUUCGGAUUGUAAACUCCUGUUGUUGGGGAAAAAGAGGAUGGUACCCAACAAGGAAGUGACGGCUAACUACGUGCCAACAGCCGCGGUAAGUACUGAGCGGGCGUGGCGAAGGC
rnacentral:rRNA from 1 species